CCUGUAAAAGCUCUAUCUCCUUGGAAACUUGCCGUCGGCGGCGCCCGCCGCUGGUUCUUUACAACCGGAAGCGGCGGCAACAGAAGAGGGGUCGAGGGCCGUGCGAGAGACCAUCUUGUUAGGCGAGGGGACGACAGAGGGCGGUUUGGGAGCGAGCUACGCAGUUCUUUUGGCAGGGGCUUGGUGGGGCCAGACAGAACAGGAGUGGCGCUGGGCGCGCGAGGUCGGCGGCCGGUACCCACGGUACCACGGAGGCGCGCGAGCGGCGGCGAGAUCGCGAGCGCGAGACAGGAGGUGUAUAGUAGGGACGGGUACGCAGGAGGUAGCCGCUCGCAGACUUCGGCUCAUGGGGCAUAGGAACGCUUCUGCAGGUCUCGAUGAUGCCCCCCGACCUCCCGAAGAGGCCACUGCCCGACUACCGCUUCGAGCCGCGGCAGCAGAGCGGAGUGCGGAGUGACGCGAUGUUUCUACAUACCCUCCGCGAGUUCUAAGAGCUACGUCGACUGCGUCUGGUGGGUCUUCGCAGGAGACUUCACUAGCUCUAUAUGAGCGUCUCUCGACACGGCUUCGAGAACCGUCCGUUCGGCCUACCUACCUUGUCUCUUGUGGAGACCGGCGCUAGUAUGCCCGAUUUUGCGGCAGGAAGAGAUUGGCUAGACGUGUUGUAAGCAGGACGCCUACGGUUACACUUAAGCAGGUCCCCUUUGUUCAUAAUACCUCCUACACGACGCUGCAGCUUUUUUACACGUUCCGGUCGUUUAGCACUUCGACGUGGACUGUGACUUUGUCUGUCACUUUCUACCCGUGGGGGAAAAGUCCACGCACCUCUACAUCGAUCCAGGGACUACAUGUACCGACAUUCGAUACCUAGACCUGUCUUUCUACGUCGAGGUGUAAACCUUGAAAGACUAAGCGGAUCAUAAGUUUCCUCCUCCUACCCAGAGGAAAGUCGAGAAGAUGUUACCUUACUUGAUCUGGGAGGUAGCUCUAGUCUCGUUGCAGCCUUACUAUCUCAAACGUCGGAAAUGGUCGUGUUAGCUUUAGGAAAACAGCUAGUAGGUCUCAUACGAUUAGAUUAUACCUCCUUGUGUCGAUCUUUUUAAGCUUACACUGAGUUUUUUUAUCACUUUCCGAACCCAGUUACUCAAGGUGAUGUUUUAUACUCUUACUCCACAGUUGUUUAAUGAUCAAUACACUACGUUGUAUACUAUCAAGUUUCGUCAAUAUUUCCCUUGAUUCCUCUUAAAUUAGUAUCUCGGACGGUAGAGACGGUUACAAGCAAAGUUCCCAAAAGGCUUGCGUCUUAAGUGAAGUUCUUCCCAAUGAGACGUAACUGUGGCAGUGGUGUUGGAAGAAACAGUGACGGUAGCACGAAAGAGUGGUCCUUCGAUGACUCCAUUCUGGGGAAACCAAAACUACUGUUCUACAAAAAUGCACAGCACAACCUAAAUGCAACAACGGUGUACCACCACAGUGACAUAAUAACGCUGCCACCUUUCUCAACCGCUUUACUUUGCUUUUUAGUUGUCGCCUUUCUAGUCGGUUUGAAAUGUCUAAACUGUGUUUGUUAAUCAAUGAGGGAGACAUAAUAUCAUUAUGUCUCCACCAUACAAGAUAUCUGUCUGCGCCUGCCUUGUCAAGCAAGUGCUUAUUUCAAACUUCUAUGAUGUUUCCAAUGUUCUAAUUAUUCUUAUAUUUGUUUCCGACGGAGGUGCAUACAUGGUCAAGUUUAAUUUCGAACUUUCGAGUUUGGGCCACGAGGCCCCUGUGGAGCACCUCUAGGAAGAGGCCGGUCGAAGGCCGCAGCCGUGCCCGAGACACCGGCCGCAUAUACGUCGUGGUCCGCUCACGGUACCGCUCUGUCGGCUCGCGCCAGUUCCGCUUGAACCCGCGGUCCAGGCCCCACAGUGGCCGCUCGACGUCGUGCUAGUACGGCGGGUGGCGGUCGCUCCGGCGGGUGUGAGACUCGGACCGGGCGGCGACGAGCCCGCGGCGGCGGCCCAGCAGCAGCGCCGCGUCCUCGAGCACGGAGGACUACGUUUGCAUCUCGGGGGUCUCAGUCUUCAUCCACCCCGUCAUACGGUACUAGUGCUUGCGAUCCAGCACGCGCGACGACACCGCGCGCGCCAUGUUGGGGGCGCGAUUCAACGGCCACUGCUCGCUCUCCUAGCGGGUCUUGCGGGUAGGCGUGGGCCCGGCGCGGCUCGGGAGCGGAACCGGGUCGACGUGGCAGAAGCCGCCGCCGCACAGACGGCGCUG
rnacentral:rRNA from 1 species